CUUAUCAAACAUUUCCUGUACCACCAGGCGGCUGUUACAAUUCCCUAAGGGGAAAGGGGGAACUACAGCUAAACUAUAAGGGCUCCUCAAGAGAAGCCCAGAGCCAGAAAGUAGACUGCCAGGUAACCAAAUGCAUCUGAUUGCAGGAUAAAACUAUCUAUGAGUUUCUGUUAUAAAUUAACACUUACAAGGCACAAGCAAGCUCAGGAUUCAGAAUAACCAGCUCAACCUCUUCACAUGGUAUUAACGUGAAAUAUUCCUAGCAGGCAUGUACCGACCUUCGGUCCUAGUUUAUAAUAAUGGAGUAACAGAAGCUGAUCAUUACACCACAGAACAAUCAGAGAUGGAUUGUUUUCACUGCUGGUCACAGAGGAUGUGGACAACUUUGACAUUCAUAGAACUUUAGAGCUAAAAUCAGCCAUAGAGAUCAUCCUACCCAACCCACUUAUUUGACAAAGGAGAACAUUGCCUACUUCACAAUUCUCCCAAAUUCCAGCGCCAUGUCAGAGUUUUUAGAUACAUAUGCAGGAAAAGAAGAAUUCAACAUGUCACCUCAAGCUAUUCCAUUGGGUUCAAGAAUAGAAGAAUAAAAAAGGGAGGCAUGGAGAACA
rnacentral:lncRNA from 1 species